rnacentral:piRNA from 1 species
UGUAGAAAUACAUGCAGGCACCC